GACGAACGCUGGCGGCGUGCUUAACACAUGCAAGUCGAACGGAAAGGCCCUGCUUGUGUGUGGUGCUCGAGUGGCGAACGGGUGAGUAACACGUGAGUAACCUGCCCUUGACUUUGGGAUAACUGCAGGAAACUGGGGCUAAUACCGGAUAGGAGCGCCUGCUGCAGGGUGGGGGUUGGAAAGUUUCGGCGGUUGGGGAUGGACUCGCGGCUUAUCAGCUUGUUGGUUGGGUAGUGGCUUACCAAGGCUUUGACGGGUAGCCGGCCUGGGAGGGUGACCGGCCACAUGGGGACUGAGAUACGGCCCAGACUCCUACGGGAGGCAGCAGUGGGGAAUAUUGCACAAUGGGCGGAAGCCUGAUGCAGCAACGCCGCGUGCGGGAUGACGGCCUUCGGGUUGUAAACCGCUUUAGCCUGUGACGAAGCGUGAGUGACGGUAAUGGGUAAAGAAGCACCGGCUAACUACGUG
rnacentral:rRNA from 1 species